rnacentral:rRNA from 1 species
GGCUCAGGAUGAACGCUAGCGGCAGGCUUAACACAUGGCAAGUCGAGGGGCAGCAGGGACUUCGGUUCGCUGGCGACCGGCGCACGGGUGCGUAACGCGUAUGCAACCUACCUUGAACAGGGGGAUAGCCCAGAGAAAUUUGGAUUAAUACCCCAUGGUAUAUUGAGAUGGCAUCAUCUUAUUAUUAAAGUCACAACGGUUCAAGAUGGGCAUGCGUCCCAUUAGCUAGAUGGUAAGGUAACGGCUUACCAUGGCCACGAUGGGUAGGGGUCCUGAGAGGGAGAUCCCCCACACUGGUACUGAGACACGGACCAGACUCCUACGGGGAGGCAGCAGUGAGGAAUAUUGGUCAAUGGGCGCAAGCCUGAACCAGCCAUGCCGCGUGCAGGAUGAAGCAUCUAUGGUGUGUAAACUGCUUUUAUACGGGAAGAAACCCUGCCACGUGUGGCAGAUUGACGGUACCGUAGGAAUAAGGAUCGGCUAACUCCGUG